CACGUAGGGGCCGAGCGUUGUCCGGAAUCACUGGGCGUGAAGCGCGCGCAGGCGGCCCGAUGCGCCCGGCGUGAAAGCCCCCGGCUCAACCGGGGAGCGUCGUUGGGGACGGUCGGGCUCGAGGGCGGGAGGGGCCGGUGGAAUCCCCGGUGUAGUGGUGAAAUGCGUAGAGAUCGGGGGGAACACCCGUGGCGAAGGCGGCCGGCUGGCCCGACCCUGACGCUGAGGCGCGAAGGCGUGGGGAGCGAACGGG
rnacentral:rRNA from 1 species